AGUCGUGCCUCUGCAUCCCAGCCCCAACCAUGCUGGCUGCUCCCUUCCCUGAUCAGGGGCAAGAGUGAUGCAUGACCUGCCCUGCAGACGAGGUCACAGUCCCCUUUGUUGGAUGUGGCUUAAAGCUCUACCAAGUGUGAUUCCAAGGAACUAACUAAAGAUGCCCCACAAGGCCAGAGACAGCUUGGCUGGAAGGAAAACUGAAACACAGCUGUUGAAAAGUGCUUUCUAGAGAAGUCCUAGAAGCAGCAAGUUCUGUACUCCCCUAAGUAAGUUCACUGAGAUGAGGAACACAGAGUGAGAAAUCAAUACAGAAGGGGAGAUUGGUUCAUUUUCAGAUACUUUGAAUUUGUGAUGCCUGUAGGACAUCCGGCGAUAGGAACAGUGGGAAAAGAAAAAAUAAUAAGGAUGCGUAUGCUGUUUCUACUCUGAAAGUCUUCUAAGUGGUAGUGCUGGGCAGCAUCCUUCUCCAAAAAUGAUGAAUUCUAUCAUCCCUCCGGUCCUCUCAGAGCAUUUAGGGAAAUGCCUUAAGAAGUGUAUUUGAAGCAGAAGCUGGAUUCCCAGGGCCGUGGGAUCAGCUGGGCUCAGCCUUCAGAGGAAGAGAAAAAUGACUCCACUUGUUGCUGGCAUUGAACAGGAAAGGAUGUGGGCGAACAAGACGGCAGAAUGACACCUGGAGCCCAGUGUGACAGUUCCCCGUGUGACUCCUAGCUCAACAAGGUCCUCAAAAUCCACAGAAAGGGCUGAGAUCUCCAUGCCUCCCUUGGUCCAAUGAAACACCACUUGGGAACAAACACAGGGAGCAGAGACAGAGGGGACUUGGGAAAUAUGGCCACGUGUGUUACUGGUACCCUGAGGUCCCCAGGGCACGGAAAUUACAAAUCUCAAGGAAAGCUCAGCUCCUGUGCGCAAGGCAAGAAGACCUCUGGCAGACGUGUGGGUGAAAGAGUUUUGUAAGUUCAAGAACUACCAUUCUAAAAAAGGAAAGACAGUGGCUCCUGAUCAUAUAGUAACUCUGGGCUAGGUACCUGCAACUCUCUGGCAUAGAAAAUCCAGGUCAACGAAGGGAUGUGCCUUACCCAGGGCCACACAGCCAAGUCCCCAGCUCUGGGCUCGUACAGCACUUUGCACAGGUGUCUAGCCCACUCAGCAUUUGCCAUGUUUUCUAGGAACUGCUUGUUCAUUUAUCUGUCACUCCUCCCAGGCUGCCAGGGACCACAUUCUGUUUGUCUAGUAACCCCAACACAUGGUAGAGGGGCUGUCGAGGGGCCAGUUCAUGUUUAUUAAACUGAGAUGAACA